UUCUUAUCAAGAGAGGUUGAGGGACUGGCCCAAUGAAACCCAGCAACAGCCAGUAUACUGGAAAUGUGCUAAUUCCUGCAGCUAUAAGCUGAGAGAUAAGAA
rnacentral:ncRNA from 2 species